rnacentral:rRNA from 1 species
UACGUAGGGGGCAAGCGUUGUCCGGAAUCAUUGGGCGUAAAGCGCGUGUAGGCGGCUUAGUAAGUCUGCUCUGAAAGCCCGGGGCUCAACCCUGGGAGGCGGGUGGAUACUGCUGAGCUUGAGUCCGGAAGAGGCGAGUGGAAUUCCUGGUGUAGCGGUGAAAUGCGCAGAUAUCAGGAGGAACACCAAUGGCGAAGGCAGCUCGCUGGGACGGUACUGACGCUGAGACGCGAAAGCGUGGGGAGCAAACAGG